UCAAAAUUAGAACACAAACUCUCUUCUUCGGAGACUGAGAGACAGAGCGAGAGAGAGCGUUAGAUUCUAAUGGCGACGAUAGAGAGUUUAAGCACACCUGAACAAGUCAGAGGAGGUUUAAUGGCGACGUGAUAGCGUUCGAUUAUAGUGGCGACGAGAGAGCAAAAGAAGUCAGAGAAGUGUGUUCGGGUUCCAACCAGGACGAUGAAUCAGUAUUUUUUCAAGGAAGAAGUUGAUUCCGAACAAAAGCGGUCGCUGGCCUUUUUACAGCGAACGAGUGUUCAAAACAAGUUUUUCGAAGGUUGAAGUAGAUUCAGAACUCAGACGGUCGGCAGCAGCGUAAGACAGUAAGUAACAACAUCAAACUGAUCGAUUAAAAGAUCCGGAGAUAUACUAUGUUUUGAAGAAUGUAGAAGAUUCAGAACCACACUAAAACAAACUUGGCCUUACGGGAUGACCGGCGCAAGUCAACAACAAUAACAACAAUGGGAAAAAUUCUUUAAUCCAAGCAUUGUUGAUGAAUUGGAAGUAUCGGUUGGAAGUAUCGUUUAUGUGUCUUUGCAUUUGAUGGAUGUUCCAGAGGACAUGGCGUUAUUCUUCAAAUCUCAUCUGAUUUGACGAAAAGAUUCUCUGAAGAAGCUAUCUACUAAAACAACUCAUCACAGGAGGAUAGAAGAAGUUCAGUCGUCGAGGCAAAUAAAUGAGACUGAGAUUUUCGGUUUUGUUGUUGUUGAUUCUGCAUAUGAUGGAGAUUUUUACGCUCUUCCCGUUAUUAUUAUUAAGGAUGAUGCUGGAUUGUGGACCCAAACGUUGGAAAACUCCUCUUCUUAUUGCUUUGUGCAACUGAAGUGGAACUCGACAAGGCACCAGAAUUCAAAGCCAAACCUUGUGAAGAAGAAGGUACUUGAUUUCCCUUCCACAGGAGAUAUGAUAUGGUUUGAAGAAUGAUGAAGAUUCAGAACCAAAAAAAGCAGCAACAUCAAACUGAUUCUUCUAGUUAUUGGUGUCGUUGAAUCUAUACAUCUUUCCUUCCUCGUGCACUUCAAUUUUCCAAUCUUUCAGUCGCAAAACCAAAGCCAUCACAAGGAAAAAAAGCUAAAUGAUGGAAAAUCAAGAUAGAUUUUGUGGAAUAGCUCUCUACCAAGGAGAAAACAAGCUCAUUCCUCGACGCAAAAAAGAGUCCCAUUGCUGGUUUUGAACAAAUGGAGGAGAUGUAUGGUUUGUUCUUCCCAUUAAUGUUGGGGAUGAAACUGGGUAAAGGUCCUAGACGAUGGAGUACCCCUCUUCAUUCUUUGUGCUACUGAAGUGGAACUCGACAAGGCACCCGAUUUCAAAACAAAACCCUAAGAAUGAAAAGAUUUCAUCAUUUUCUUUGAGUUUGUGGUUUGAUUGGAACGGAUUGGUUCGGUAGGAUUUAAGUGCAAGAAGAUAUGGAUCGGAUCAUAUUAAGCGAUCUUCCAGAUGAUCUUAUCAGGCGAAUCGUGAGCUUUCUUGCUGCAAAGGAUGCUGCGUCUUUGCUGGUUCUCUCAAAGAGGUUUAGGAAUGUAUAUACCAUCAUACCAGAUCUUGUGUUCGACGACAGAGCUAAGUUUCAGGGGACUUUCACGGGUCUUGUGAGUGAAGCGUUGGCUCGGCUGGAAACUACUACGUGCAUUAGGAGAUUCUCUUUAAAAUCUGAAAGGGGUCUUGAUUCAGAUCGUAUCAACCACUGGCUACGUGAUGUGUUGAACAAUCGUGGUGUCAGGGAUCUUGAAAUGGGUAUAUAUGGUGAUAAUGGAUAUAUAUUGCCUUUGGAGAUCUUCACUUGCAAGACACUCAAUAAGCUGAAAUUAGGGCGGGAGAUUGUUAUCAGUUUGCUGCCUCAGAAUGCUUUGCUUCCAUCGCUCAAGACUCUCAUUUUUGAAUCAGUUUGGUUCUGUAAUCUUGAUGAUUGUGCGUUCCAGGCGUUUCUUUUGGCUUGCCCUGUGCUUAAGGAACUAACCAUCGAUGGUAUGUACUGGGAAACUUGGAAAUGGUCUGGCAUCGUGUCUAGUCGAAGUCUUCAAAGACUUACUAUUGGUCGUGAACUGAUAAAUUUUAAAGGACCUGAUCCGCAGAACAUUAUUUUUGAUACUCCGAGUCUUGCCUACUUAGACUACAGUGAUUUUGUCCCGGAUGGGUAUACAAUUGUUAAUUUCGAGUCCCUUGUGGAAGCUAAGCUCAAUCUUCUCGUGAUGGUAAAUCGCCGAUGGAAUGAAGUAUUUGCAACUGAUGGUGAUAUCCUGUCUAGCAAUGCAACAAAUCUGAUUCAAGGGAUAAGAAAUGUCCAGAUCCUGGAGUAAUCAUGUCCUUAUACUUUUCAGACGCUUUACUUCUUUCGUGAUGCGAUUCCCGUAUUUGAAAAGCUACAUCAUCUAACUAUGAUGCAUGAUAAUGCGGGAUUCUGUUGGAGAUUUCUUCCCUUUUUGUUAAACAAGGCUCCAAAUCUGAAGACCCUUGUUAUCGAGGGUGGAGUGCAUUAUCUUGAAGAACCUGACAAUGUUGAAGAACCUGAGAAUGCUGAAGAACUUGACUAUGUUGAAGAAGCUGACAAUGUUGAAGAACCUGAUUAUGUUUGCGAGUGUUUGUCGGGAUAUUCUUGUCUAUUGACAUGUCCUGUAGAGGUCUUGGAGAUAACUUUAUGGGAUAGCGGGACGACUGGCGAGUUGCAGCAAGUAAAACAUUUCUUAGGAAAGUUGCCACGUCUGGAGCUGCUUAUAGUUUAUACUUGGUCAAGAAUAAGCGACAGUGAAAAGUUAAGAAUCGAGACGGAUCUUCAGAUGUUUCCGAGAGCUUCAUCCAAGUGCAGAAUCCAGCUCAGUAUUAAAUGAAAACUAGUAGUAGCUCAGCUGCUCAGGCAUGAAGAAAAAAACUUUGGUCCUCCUAGCUGCUUAAAGUCUGUUGGAACAUGAAUCGAUUUGUGCACGUUCUUGGUCACUUUAUCUCUUGUUACUCCCUUUGGUAUUUUUAUUAAUUGGAUUCUCCUAGUUAUAUUCAGUCUGUGUCUAUCUUUGUAUCUCAGUUAGCUUCGAUAGGCUCUUAGUUUAGGUCUCAACUGAACAUGUGAACUUCUUUCAGCGUGAGAAAGAUUUAGUCAGAAGGUGGAUGUUAUUUUGUUUUUUUGUAAAUGUUUCAGAAUUGUACUUGCUACCAAGCAAAUGUCGAUCACUUGGGACUA